UACGUAGGGAGCAAGCGUUGUCCGGAAUCAUUGGGCGUAAAGCGCGCGUAGGUGGCCUCAUAAGUCCGCUGUGAAAGUCAAAGGCUCAACCUUUGAAAGCCGGUGGAUACUGUGGGGCUAGAGUACGGAAGAGGCGAGUGGAAUUCCUGGUGUAGCGGUGGAAUGCGCAGAUAUCAGGAGGAACACCAAUGGCGAAGGCGGGUCUCUGGACAGUUCCUGACACUGAGGCACGAAGGCCAGGGGAGCAAACGGG
rnacentral:rRNA from 1 species